rnacentral:rRNA from 1 species
GGACGAACGCUGGCGGCGUGCUUAACCCAUGCAAGUCGAACGGAAAGGCCCUGCUUGCAGGGUACUCGAGUGGCGAACGGGUGAGUAACACGUGGGUGAUCUGCCCUGCACUUCGGGAUAAGCUUGGGAAACUGGGUCUAAUACCGGAUAGGAACCAUCUUUAGUGUGGUGGUUGGAAAGUUUUUUCGGUGUAGGAUGAGCUCGCGGCCUAUCAGCUUGUUGGUGGGGUAAUGGCCUACCAAGGCGGCGACGGGUAGCCGGCCUGAGAGGGUGUACGGCCACAUUGGGACUGAGAUACGGCCCAGACUCCUACGGGAGGCAGCAGUGGGGAAUAUUGCACAAUGGGCGCAAGCCUGAUGCAGCGACGCCGCGUGGGGGAUGAAGGCCUUCGGGUUGUAAACUCCUUUCGCUAGGGACGAAGCUUUGUUGUGACGGUACCUAGAUAAGAAGCACCGGCUAACUACGUG